rnacentral:rRNA from 1 species
GGGGAAUAUUGCGCAAUGGGGGCAACCCUGACGCAGCCAUGCCGCGUGAAUGAAGAAGGCCUUCGGGUUGUAAAGUUCUUUCGGUGACGAGGAAGGUUGUUGUGUUAAUAGCGCAACAAAUUGACGUUAAUCACAGAAGAAGCACCGGCUAACUCCGUGCCAGCAGCCGCGGUAAUACGGAGGGUGCGAGCGUUAAUCGGAAUAACUGGGCGUAAAGGGCACGCAGGCGGCUAUUUAAGUGAGGUGUGAAAUCCCCGGGCUUAACCUGGGAAUUGCAUUUCAGACUGGGUAGCUAGAGUACUUUAGGGAGGGGUAGAAUUCCACGUGUAGCGGUGAAAUGCGUAGAGAUGUGGAGGAAUACCGAAGGCGAAGGCAGCCCCUUGGGAAUGUACUGACGCUCAUGUGCGAAAGCGUGGGGAGCAAACAGGAUUAGAUACCCUGGUAGUCCACGCUGUAAACGCUGUCGAUUUGGGGAUUGGGCUUUAAGCUUGGUGCCCGUAGCUAACGUGAUAAAUCGACCGCCUGGGGAGUACGGCCGCAAGGUUA